GGAUUAGAUACCCUGGUAGUCCACGCCGUAAACGAUGUCAACUAGCCGUCGGGUUCAUUUAGGAAUUUGGUGGCGUAGCUAACGCGAUAAGUUGACCGCCUGGGGAGUACGGCCGCAAGGUUAAAACUCAAAGGAAUUGACGGGGGCCCGCACAAGCGGUGGAGCAUGUGGUUUAAUUCGAUGCAACGCGAAGAACCUUACCAGCCCUUGACAUCCUCGGAACUUUCUAGAGAUAGAUUGGUGCCUUCGGGAACCGAGUGACAGGUGCUGCAUGGCUGUCGUCAGCUCGUGCCG
rnacentral:rRNA from 1 species